CAAAAGCAUAUGCUAAUGAUGUUGCAGUUAAAAGGCUCGUAGUCAAAUUUGUGAACUCUCUCUUCAGAGCAUCCGUCUAGCACGAAAUGUCUCUGCAUGACAUUGUUCAUCAAGGUGGGUAGAUCCUUCUGCUCUUGAUUGAGCGGGAGAGAUUGAUACAUCAAUUUACUGUGAAUAAAUCAAAGCGUUCAAGACAAGCACGUUGCCGUGAAUGCUCAAGCAUGGAAUAAGAAGCCAGUACUUGUGCUUUACUGUAGGCUGCAAAGCAGGAGUAAUGAUUGAUAGAAUUAGUUGGGGGUGCUAGUACUUAGCGGUAAGCGGUGAAAUGCAUAGACCCGCUGAAGACUUUCAAAUGCGAAAGCAUUCACCAAGGAUAUAUUCUUUGA
rnacentral:rRNA from 1 species